UUACCAAUUCCUACAAAUUUUUGAUCAAAGAUUAUUUGAUCAUAGAUUUCGUCACAGAUAAUGUAUAGAUUAUGU
rnacentral:tRNA from 2 species